rnacentral:ncRNA from 1 species
AAAUUGACGAUGAUGGGAAGUAGUAGCAACCUUGUUUUUUGAAGAGAGUCGGCGGUCGGUGCAAGCCGAUAAAAACAAUUUGUGAAUCCGUCCCUGAGCAGCUGGGUUGAAAGAAAGUAGGCCUAAGCCGGUGAUUGAACCGUUAUUUCAACGAGUGGAUCAGACUUGCCGUCUGGUCAAUUUGGGUGGCAACGCGGGUAGUUCUCGUCCCUUUA